rnacentral:rRNA from 1 species
AGAGUUUGAUCCUGGCUCAGGAUGAACGCUGGCGGCGUGCCUAAUACAUGCAAGUCGAGCAAACAGAUAAGGAGCUUGCUCCUUUGACGUUAGCGGCGGACGGGUGAGUAACACGUGGGUAACCUACCUAUAAGACUGGAAUAACUCCGGGAAACCGGGGCUAAUGCCGGAUAACAUGUUGAACCGCAUGGUUCUACAGUGAAAGACGGUCUUGCUGUCACUUAUAGAUGGACCCGCGCCGUAUUAGCUAGUUGGUGGGGUAACGGCCUACCAAGGCGACGAUACGUAGCCGACCUGAGAGGGUGAUCGGCCACACUGGAACUGAGACACGGUCCAGACUCCUACGGGAGGCAGCAGUAGGGAAUCUUCCGCAAUGGGCGAAAGCCUGACGGAGCAACGCCGCGUGAGUGAUGAAGGUCUUCGGAUCGUAAAGCUCUGUUGUUAGGGAAGAACAAAUGUGUAAGUAACUGUGCACAUCUUGACGGUACCUAACCAGAAAGCCACGGCUAACUACGUGCCAGCAGCCGCGGUAAUACGUAGGUGGCAAGCGUUAUCCGGAAUUAUUGGGCGUAAAGCGCGCGUAGGCGGUUUUUUAAGUCUGAUGUGAAAGCCCACGGCUCAACCGUGGAGGGUCAUUGGAAACUGAAAAACUUGAGUGCAGAAGAGGAAAGUGGAAUUCCAUGUGUAGCGGUGAAAUGCGCAGAGAUAUGGAGGAACACCAGUGGCGAAGGCGGCUUUCUGGUCUGCAACUGACGCUGAUGUGCGAAAGCGUGGGGAUCAAACAGGAUUAGAUACCCUAGUAGUCC